CAUCUGGAAACAGGUGCUAAUACCGCAUAACAACUACUUUCACAUGAUCGUAGUUUAAAAGAUGGCUCUGCUAUCGCUUUUGGAUGGACCCGCGGCGUAUUAGCUAGUUGGUGAGGUAAAGGCUCACCAAGGCAAUGAUACGUAGCCGACCUGAGAGGGUAAUCGGCCACAUUGGGACUGAGACACGGCCCAAACUCCUACGGGAGGCAGCAGUAGGGAAUCUUCCACAAUGGGCGAAAGCCUGAUGGAGCAAUGCCGCGUGAGUGAAGAAGGUUUUCGGAUCGUAAAACUCUGUUGUUGAAGAAGAACAUGCGUGAGAGUAACUGUUCACGUACUGACGGUAUUCAACCAGAAAGCCACGGCUAACUACGUGCCAGCAGCCGCGGUAAUACGUAGGUGGCAAGCGUUGUCCGGAUUUAUUGGGCGUAAAGAGAAUGUAGGCGGUUUAUUAAGUUUGAAGUGAAAGCCCUCGGCUCAACCGAGGAAGUGCUUCGAAAACUGGUAAACUUGAGUGCAGAAGAGGAAAGUGGAACUCCAUGUGUAGCGGUGGAAUGCGUAGAUAUAUGGAAGAACACCAGUGGCGAAGGCGGCUUUCUGGUCUGUAACUGACGCUGAGAUUCGAAAGCAUGGGUAGCAAACAGGAUUAGAUACCCUGGUAGUCCAUGCCGUAAACGAUGAGUGCUAAGUGUUGGAGGGUUUCCGCCCUUCAGUGCUGCAGCUAACGCAUUAAGCACUCCGCCUGGGGAGUACGAUCGCAAGAUUGAAACUCAAAGGAAUUGACGGGGGCCCGCACAAGCGGUGGAGCAUGUGGUUUAAUUCGAAGCAACGCGAAGAACCUUACCAGGUCUUGACAUACCAUGAAAAGCUAAGAGAUUAGUCUUUCCCUUCGGGGACAUGGAUACAGGUGGUGCAUGGUUGUCGUCAGCUCGUGUCGUGAGAUGUUGGGUUAAGUCCCGCAACGAGCGCAACCCUUAUUAUCAGUUGCCAGCAUUCAGUUGGGCACUCUGGUGAGACUGCCGGUGACAAACCGGAGGAAGGUGGGGACGACGUCAAAUCAUCAUGCCCCUUAUGACCUGGGCUACACACGUGCUACAAUGGUCGGUACAACGUGCUGCGAACUCGCGAGGGUAAGCAAAUCACUUAAAACCGAUCUCAGUUCGGAUUGUAGGCUGCAACUCGCCUACAUGAAGCUGGAAUCGCUAGUAAUCGCGGAUCAGCAUGCCGCGGUGAA
rnacentral:rRNA from 1 species